rnacentral:rRNA from 1 species
GAUGAACGCUGGCGGCGUGCCUAAUACAUGCCAGUCGAGCGAACAGAUGAGGAGCUUGCUCCUCUGACGUUAGCGGCGGACGGGUGAGUAACACGUGGAUAACCUACCUAUAAGACUGGGAUAACUUCGGGAAACCGGAGCUAAUACCGGAUAAUAUAUUGAACCGCAUGGUUCAAUAGUGAAAGACGGUUUUGCUGUCACUUAUAGAUGGAUCCGCGCCGCAUUAGCUAGUUGGUAAGGUAACGGCUUACCAAGGCAACGAUGCGUAGCCGACCUGAGAGGGUGAUCGGCCACGCUGGAACUGAGACACGGUUCAGACUCCUACGGGAGGCAGCAGUAGGGAAUCUUCCGCAAUGGGCGAAAGCCUGACGGAGCAACGCCGCGUGAGUGAUGAAGGUCUUCGGAUCGUAAAACUCUGUUAUUAGGGAAGAACAAAUGUGUAAGUAACUAUGCACGUCUUGACGGUACCUAAUCAGAAAGCCACGGCUAACUACGUG